ACAAAGUCAUUCGUUCACUCGAACUGUCGAGUCAGAGUUGUUCGCAGUGGAAGUGGUAGGAACCAGACGACUACACGGCCCUCCAAACGGAGGUUUUUCAGCCUCCAAACAGAGAAAAACUGGCGAGAUGGCUGAACAAGAGACCCAAGAAACCCGCAAAUGUUCAGACACGUAUCCCAUCUCGUUCUCCGGGGAUGCAGAAAGAGGUCAUCAUUCAGAGUUAAUCACGAUUCAACCUCAGAGAUCGUUGGACGGAACGCCGACAUUCAAUAUUGCUUUUGACUGCAUCUGGACAAACUGGAAGACGAAACGUGAAAUAUCCAGGUUGUGAUUUGAAAUCGAUGGUACGCAUUGAGGUUUUUUGGUCUCUGCAGUUGGUGAAAUCAAGAUGUUUCCGAAAUAUACCGAACUGGAUGGAGUGCCCGGAGAAAUGCUGUAUUGCUUUACAUA